rnacentral:rRNA from 1 species
GUGCCAGCAGCCUGCGGUAAUUCCAGCUCCAAUAGCGUAUAUUAAAGUUGUUGUGGUUAAAAAGCUCGUAGUUGAACCUUGGGCCUGGCUGGCCGGUCCGCCUCACCGCGUGCACUGGUCCGGCCGGGCCUUUCCCUCUGUGGAACCCCAUACCCUUCACUGGGCGUGGCGGGGAAACAGGACAUUUACUUUGAAAAAAUUAGAGUGCUCCAGGCAGGCCUAUGCUCGAAUACAUUAGCAUGGAAUAAUAAAAUAGGACGCGCGGUUCUAUUUUGUUGGUUUAUAGGACCGCCGUAAUGAUUAAUAGGGACAGUCGGGGGCAUCAGUAUUCAACUGUCAGAGGUGAAAUUCUUGGAUCAGUUGAAGACUAACUACUGCGAAAGCUUUUGCCAAGGAUGUUUUCAUUAAUCAGGAACGAAAGUUAGGGGAUCGAAGACGAUCAGAUACCGUCGUAGUCUUAACCAUAAACUAUGCCGACUAGGGAUCGGACGGUGUUAUUCAUGACCCGUUCGGCACCUUACGAGAAAUCAAAGUGCUUGGGCUCCAGGGGGAGUAUGGUCGCAAGGCUGAAACUUAAAGAAAUUGACGGAAGGGCACCACCAGGGUGGAGCCUGCGGCUUUAAUUUGACUCAACACGGGGAAACUCACCAGGUCCAGACACAAUAAGGGAUUGACCGAUUGAGAGCUCUUUCUUGAUUUUGUGGGUGGUGGUGCAUGGCCGUUCUUAGUUGGUGGGGUGACUUGUCUGCUUAAUUGCGAUAACGAACGAGACCUUAACCUGCUAAAUAGCCCGCAUUGCUCCGGCAGUGCGCUUGCCUUCUUAGAG